CUCUGGGAAAAAAAAUAUUAAUGUAUGAGAUAGUGUGGACCACACAGGAAAAAAUUAAGUGCUACAUUGCCUUUUAUAAGAAUGUUGUUCAGUGGUGUUGCGAUGACUCAAUUUAAGCUAAGUGCCUUUGAAAUGAUGUGGCGUGAUACAUGCCUCAGAAUGUGCACUCCCUAAAAGCCCUCACAUGGAACAGGAGAAAGAAGGACUCUAAGAGGCCCGUGUUUGAUCUUUGAUGGGCUGGGUGAGCCAUUCGUUUGUACACAUAUGUCCUUUUCUUUUAUCGAGAAAGACACAUAUGCCAAAACACAGCAUUUAUUAGUUUCAUUUUAAUAAACGAUUGUUGGAAUAGAACGUAUAUAUUGUUAAUCUGUUUUCCAGUGAUCCUCUGUCAUUAAAUGGCAUCUCCAUUCAUCCAGAUGCUAGUCUGAAAUCUGAGAAUCAGUUAUUCAAUCCAUCAUCAACUCUUAGAGACUUUUUUCUUCAAAAUACAUGUUAAACCUGUCUACUUUUCUUUAUGUCCCCCACUGGCAUUGUGGUCCACCUCUUUUAUUUCUUACGUGGACUACUGCAGUGGCCCUAAAUGGUCCCGCUUCCAAUUUUGCUCCCAUUCUAAUCCAUUCUCCACACAGAAGCCAGACUUAGCUUUCUUCAAACGCCUCACCAUGGUGUCUAUGGCUUAGCAUAAUCAGCUUCUGGCCUUUUCUUCCCAAUAUUCAGAAAUGCUAUUCUCUCUCCAUCUCCCACUAAAUUUCA
rnacentral:lncRNA from 1 species